AUUGAACGCUGGCGGCAGGCCUAACACAUGCAAGUCGAGCGGAGGAAGGGAGCUUGCUCCUGGAUUCAGCGGCGGACGGGUGAGUAAUGCCUAGGAAUCUGCCUGGUAGUGGGGGAUAACGUCCGGAAACGGGCGCUAAUACCGCAUACGUCCUGAGGGAGAAAGUGGGGGAUCUUCGGACCUCACGCUAUCAGAUGAGCCUAGGUCGGAUUAGCUAGUUGGUGGGGUAAAGGCCUACCAAGGCGACGAUCCGUAACUGGUCUGAGAGGAUGAUCAGUCACACUGGAACUGAGACACGGUCCAGACUCCUACGGGAGGCAGCAGUGGGGAAUAUUGGACAAUGGGCGAAAGCCUGAUCCAACCAUGCCGCGUGUGUGAAGAAGGUCUUCGGAUUGUAAAGCACUUUAAGUUGGGAGGAAGGGCAGUAAGUUAAUACCUUGCUGUUUUGACGUUACCAACAGAAUAAGCACCGGCUAACUUCGUG
rnacentral:rRNA from 1 species